GUCCUCCCAGCAGGUAGGAGCUUCCAACAGCCUGCACUGAUCCGGGGAUUGCCAGAGGGGGCUCCUGGGCUCCUCAACGCCCUGGGACAGCAGCGAGGCUUCCAUGGCAAAGAAGCUUUGGGAAUUGCUUUGGAUCCUCCCCUGGGGACCGGCGGAUGCCCCGGGAAGCGCUGCGGCAGGAAGGCAGCAGCGUGGUCCCGCUCCAGAAAGGAGGCAGAGGAGGAAUCCCGUCCCUGCCUGGCAUGGUUUAACCUCCCGGGAUUAAUUAAAGGCUUUCUCAGUUUUUCUUUCAAACCUCACAACAUCCAUCCCUGCCUCGCUGAAUAGGGAAAGGCAGAGGCAUCUUCUCUGGUGAAUCACCGGCCUGGUCCAAUGCUCAGUUUUACAUUGCAGUAAUAGCUUUUUCCUAAGGGAAUACCGCAGGAAGGGUAGACUUUGGCUUCUCACCACUGGAGCAUUACAUCAUUAACACGAGCUGGAAAUCCAAGCGUUGGGAGAACCAAAUGUUCCCUAAAUCCAGCAAUCCCCCUUCCCCUGGUGCUUCUGUCCCCUCUUCCCUGCCCAUGGGUAAGGCAGGUGAUGGUGUUGGCAGAGCCAGUGUGGGGCAGGGGACCAUAUGCAUGGUGAUGCUACAGGAGCAGGGAUGUGUCCUGCAUCCUCUGAGCUGCUGGCAGUGCAAGGACUGGAGACUAAUGGAGCUCUGGGACAGCAAAAUCCUUCCUUCUACAACUCAGGUUUGUGGUGAUGGGUGCAAUGGCAGGGAAGGAGCCACAUGUCUCAGUGCUCUCUUGAAGCACACAGGGUCUUUCAUAUGGUUUCCUAAUACCAGAGAAAGAUGGGACCAGAGUCCCUGGUUCUUGAGCAUCCUGAAGAAGCACCACAGCUCCUGGCUCAGCAAGCCAUGAGUACGUGCAUGGUCCCUAUUUACUGGCCCUGCAGACCCUCUGGCUAUGCCCUGGCUGAGCAGCGUUUGUUUCCUGACCCCAUUACCUAUUCCUGUUUGCAUUUCAGCUGCUUAGGCUUGAUUCUUUUAAACCCCGUCUAUCUGAUUAUGAGCAGCCCAGCCAGGCGGAUAGGAAGCUUCCUGCGGGAUCCCCGGCAGCGCUGCAGGAGGAUGGUUUGCCUCAUUUAUGCUCCUGGAGGUGGCUGAUCCACAAAGGGGCAGCGGAGAAGUUAUGGGGGCAGUUCAAGACUCCCCUGUGGUGCAGGCUCGUAAGUCUGGGAUGCUUUGCUGGGUGAUGCUUUUCCUUGCUCCCAAGGGCACGCAGGGAGAUGCAAACUCUGUCCCCAGGAGGCGUUGGUGACAGGCACCACAUGGAAACCUGCAUCUGCACCGCAGGAUGCCUCCGGGAGCAGAGAGGAGCGUGGUGGCUGUUGCUGUUGCUGACCAGCGCAGGGACACGGUGGCAUGGCAGGGUGCAGCAGAUGGGUACCGAAACCCUGUGCAACCCUCCCAGAGCUGCCCUGCUCUUGCUUUUCGGUUUCCUAUUGUUAUCCUAAUGCCGUCCUCCUCCUCCUCCCCCCAGCUGGAUGAAGAAGCCUCCAGCUGGCCUAGGAGGCUUAUCAGCUCUGUCUGGCUGGGUGUUAACAGUCGAUUUGCAUAAGUACCUGUCCCCAUCAUAUGCUGCCUGCCUUUGUGACUCAUGUGCUUGUUUGUUUCUCCUUCAGCAGCCAGGCUUGUGCUGUGCUGCUCCCAGAGGUACCAGGGCAGAUGCCACCACCCCGGGCACUGGGGGAUGGAUGCUGAGCAUCCUCCCUGGCUCACCCACUGCUCCUGCCCUGCAGGACUAGCUUGGGAAUGAACUGUGAAACUGGCUGUUUUCUCCUAGUUGUCAAGGUCCUUCUGAGUCAUCAUCACCCAUCCCACAUCCCUCUCUGCUCACUGCAUCCGGGGUAAGUUUGCCACUUGGGAACACUGCUCAGGAGAUGGAGUGUCUGUGGCAACCCCCCUAUGGUUAAAACCAACCCUGUUUGCAAAAAUAAGCACCGGUGAAUGAAGAUGAAAGGAAAACGUUGCUGUUUUCUUCCCUGGAGAUUGUAUUCCUCACUUGUUGCAUAACUGCUUAUUUUAGCAUCAAUCAGCUGAGCCUUUGUUGUGUAGACAACUCUGUCCUUUUGGAGGAUUUGUGCAGUGUUGUUUCCUUUAAGAUGCCUGGGUUUUGGUUGUUUUUAUUAUUAGAUUUAUUUCUUUCCUUGGCAAAUGCCAGCUGAC